rnacentral:rRNA from 1 species
UACGUAGGGGGCGAGCGUUGUCCGGAAUCAUUGGGCGUAAAGAGCGUGUAGGCGGCCAGAAAAGUCCGCUGUGAAAACUCGAGGCUCAACUUCGAGCUGUCGGUGGAAACUUUCUGGCUAGAGUCCGGAAGAGGAGAAUGGAAUUCCUGGUGUAGCGGUGAAAUGCGCAGAUAUCAGGAAGAACACCCGUGGCGAAGGCGGUUCUCUGGGACGGUACUGACGCUGAGACGCGAAAGCGUGGGGAGCGAACAGG